AUCGCUUCUCGGCCUUUUGGCUAAGAUCAAGUGUGUAAAAAGUACAUCACAAUUUUUUCUUAAGCGUGUGUGUGUGUGUGUGUGUGUGUGUGUGUGUGCGCGCGUGUGUGAGUGUGUGCCCUCACGCAUGCUCGCAUGCACGUG
ensembl:snRNA LOC120102759 U2 spliceosomal RNA